rnacentral:rRNA from 1 species
UACGUAGGUGGCAAGCGUUAUCCGGAUUCACUGGGUGUAAAGGGAGCGUAGACGGUAAUGUAAGUCUGGAGUGAAAGGCGGGGGCCCAACCCCCGGACUGCUCUGGAAACUAUGUUACUAGAGUGCAGGAGAGGUAAGCGGAAUUCCUAGUGUAGCGGUGAAAUGCGUAGAUAUUAGGAGGAACACCAGUGGCGAAGGCGGCUUACUGGACUGUAACUGACGUUGAGGCUCGAAAGCGUGGGGAGCAAACAGG